rnacentral:rRNA from 2 species
ACAACCUCAACUCAUAUGG